ACCAAGUGCCAUUUCAAAAUAUGUAAGAGUAGUUUGGGGGACUUUCUACUGUAUAGAAGACACAGGGGUUUGCAAAUGUGAUGUGUUGCUCCACAAGCUCUCACAGGUCACUGGUGCAACCAUCGCAUCCUCAAAAUGAUCAAAUGAUUUAUGUGGCAGGGACUGUGCAUAGAAGAGAUGGGCACAAUGUGAACUGAACAAAAACUGGAAACAGCUUAUUGAAUCCUCAGGCUCUUUUGCAUGUGGUAAGGAUACUAAGGAACAUCUCCAUGGUGGUCAAAAGCCACAGAAAUUUAUAUCAUCUCCUCUGACUGCAAGUUUACAUGUGUUUUGUGGAAUGAAUGGCUUGGACAAAAGCACUGGUAAAUCGCCUGAAACAAAUCUGCCUGACACUCAAAUAGCUGCUAAUGGGGGGGACACCAAUUAGAGAGCCCAGGUGAGGAGGAUCAGCUCUUGAUUUAUUCCUGAGGACCUUAUUUGAGAUAUGUUUCCAUGAAGAAGAGGAAAGACAGAACGGAUGCUCUCCCUGUUUCAAUGAAAAUACCUGUUCUCAGCCUGAAUCAAGGGGCACUGGAAGGAACAGGAACAUGAUAUCUAAUUUCCUAAUUUUCCUGUCAGCUUUCUGGUUUUCAAAAUGAUUGCAGCAGAAAUCUAUAAAAUGAGGAUGAGGGAAGCAACCUUAAUACCAUUGUAAAUCUCCAAAAUGGAUGCAGAAACACAGUACUCAAAUAGGAGUAAAUAAAAGCAAGGAGAGAUUCAUUCCAGUUUUCUCCUCUGUAAACCUACUGGCAGCUUGGAAUUAUUCAGAAAACAGCAUUUAACUGAGAAAAAAAGGAACCCUGUAAAAUAGUAAAGAUUGUACCGUAAAGCUAAGCACCCUCCAUAAAUCAUGGCUGGGAACAUUGCUAAGUUAUAGGAACCUGCAGAUGGAUGUCAUUAAAGGGAAAGAGCCUCUCCCAGCUUGGCAGGCCCUGCUGCGUCCUGGUGCACAGCUACAAAUCGAGCUGCCUUCAUGGGGGACUUGCAAAAGUGGUUUUAAAAUAGGAAUUUCAAGCAGAAGCUGUAUGAGCUGUUCAGCGAGACUCAGGCUUAUUGCAAAUCCACAGUGGUAAUUUCAGGCCUGAUUUACAGGGGAUUCUAAUAAACCUCCCCUAUUUAAAAUGAUAUGGCAAUAGUUUAUCACUAGUGCCUGUCUGAGGCAAGAGGAGAGGGUGCGGGGCACGGUGCCUCCAGUUCCAAGCCUGGCAUUUUCUCCACCAUAACCCAGUACAACCCCUGCCUGUCCAAAGACAGGGACCAGGGUAAGCUGCUGGGGGUGCUGUCUCCAGCUGGUGUUUGGGAGUGAGUCAGGACAGACCAUGGGCUCCUUCCCUGCUCUGAACACAUUCCUGUGUGCUCACCUGAGGCAGCGCUGUUUUCCCUUUGGGAUGAACUCGUCUGGGGCUUCAACUCAAGAAACAGCAGGAGAGAUGCUCAAAACAAGCCUGCAAGGCUGAAAAUAGCACACACCGGCUGCUGCAGCUUUCAAGAUAAAGAUGUCACCAGAUAAAUAUGAUUGUUUCUGCAAUGCUGCUGCUUGGCUUACUGAAGCCCAGGAAAGAACUUGGAGGGAGAGAAGACAGACGUGAAGGAAAACAAAAAUUGGGACAAUAUUACAAUUCCAC